rnacentral:rRNA from 1 species
UGGGGAAUAUUGCACAAUGGGCGCAAGCCUGAUGCAGCAACGCCGCGUGAACGAUGAAGGUCUUCGGAUCGUAAAGUUCUGUUGCAGGGGAAGAUAAUGACGGUACCCUGUGAGGAAGCCCCGGCUAACUACGUGCCAGCAGCCGCGGUAAUACGUAGGGGGCUAGCGUUAUCCGGAUUUACUGGGCGUAAAGGGUGCGUAGGUGGUCUUUCAAGUCGGUGGUUAAAGGCUACGGCUCAACCGUAGUUAGCCUCCGAAACUGGAAGACUUGAGUGCAGGAGAGGAAAGUGGAAUUCCCAGUGUAGCGGUGAAAUGCGUAGAUAUUGGGAGGAACACCAGUAGCGAAGGCGGCUUUAUGGACUGCAACUGACACUGAGGCACGAAAGCGUGGGUAGCAAACAGG